rnacentral:rRNA from 1 species
AGCGCGGUGGUGGCAACACCACUGGCGGCGACCGGCGCACGGGUGAGUAACACGUAUGCAACCUGCCCUCCACAGGGGGAUAAUCGGGAGAAAUCCCGUCUAAUACCGCAUAACGCCAACCGGGGGCAUCCCCGGUUGGCCAAAGGAGCGAUCCGGUGGGGGCUGGGCAUGCGCCGCAUUAGCCAGUUGGCGGGGUAACGGCCCACCAAGGCGACGAUGCGUAGGGGUUCUGAGAGGAAGGUCCCCCACACUGGUACUGAGACACGGACCAGACUCCUACGGGAGGCAGCAGUGAGGAAUAUUGGUCAAUGGGCGGAAGCCUGAACCAGCCAAGUCGCGUGAGGGAAGACGGUCCUAUGGAUUGUAAACCUCUUUUGUCGGGGAGCAAGGGGCGCCACGAGUGGCGUCAAGCGAGAGUACCCGAAGAAAAAGCAUCGGCUAACUCCGUGCCAGCAGCCGCGGUAAUACGGAGGAUGCGAGCGUUAUCCGGAUUUAUUGGGUUUAAAGGGUGCGUAGGCGGGACGCCAAGUCAGCGGUAAAAUGUCGGGGCUCAACCCCGUUGUGCCGUUGAAACUGGCGUUCUUGAGUGGGCGAGAAGUAUGCGGAAUGCGUGGUGUAGCGGUGAAAUGCAUAGAUAUCACGCAGAACUCCGAUUGCGAAGGCAGCAUACCGGCGCCCUACUGACGCUGAAGCACGAAAGCGUGGGUAUCAAACAGGCUUAGAUACCCUGGUAGUCCACGCAGUAAACGAUGAACACUAAUUGUCCGGCGCGAAUGAGCGCUGGGUGAUACAGCGAAAGCGUUAAGUGUCCCACCUGGGGAGUACGCCGGCAACGGUGAAACUCAAAGGAAUUGACGGGGGCCCGCACAAGCGGAGGAACAUGUGGUUUAAUUCGAUGAUACGCGAGGAACCUUACCCGGGCUCAAACGACGCAGGAAUGUUUUUGAAAGGAGGCAGCCCUUCGGGGCCUGCGUCGAGGUGCUGCAUGGUUGUCGUCAGCUCGUGCCGUGAGGUGUCGGCUUAAGUGCCAUAACGAGCGCAACCCCCAUUGACAGUUGCUAACAGGUAAAGCUGAGGACUCUGUCGAGACUGCCGGCGCAAGCUGUGAGGAAGGCGGGGAUGACGUCAAAUCAGCACGGCCCUUACGU